rnacentral:tRNA from 3 species
UCCGAUAAAGGGCUUUAGUCCUUUUUUUAUAAAAAACUCCAGCCAUAGCCUUUUUUG